rnacentral:rRNA from 1 species
AUUGAACGCUGGCGGCAGGCCUAACACAUGCAAGUCGAACGGAGUGGCGGACGGGUGAGUAACGCGUAGGUAACUGCUUCAUAGCGGGGGAUAACUAUUGGAAACGAUAGCUAAUACCGCAUACUGUGAGAUGGACCUGCGUGGUAUUAGCUAGUUGGUGAGGUAAAGGCUCACCAAGGCGACGAUACAUAGCCGACCUGAGAGGGUGAUCGGCCACCCUGGGGCUGGGACACAGCACAAACUCCUCCGGGAGGCCGCCAUAAGGAAACUUCGGCAAAGGACUGAAGUCUGGACGAGCAACGCCGGGGGAGUGAAGAAAGUUUUCGGGUCGUAAAGCUCUGUUGUUAGAGAAGCGGUAACUAACCAGAAAGGGACGGCUAACUACGUGCCAGCAGCCGCGGGAAUUC